CCGGUUCCGGUUCACGCCCGUUCCCGAUCAUGCUCGGGGCAGCGCGGGCGACCCGGCGACC
rfam:Micromonospora yangpuensis strain DSM 45577 genome assembly, contig: Ga0070617_12